UACAGAGGUCUCAAGCGUUGUUCGGAUUCAUUGGGCGUAAAGGGCUCGUAGGUGGCCAACUAAGUCAGACGUGAAAUCCCUCAGCUUAACUGGGGAACUGCGUCUGAUACUGGAUGGCUUGAGUUUGGGAGAGGGAUGCGGAAUUCCAGGUGUAGCGGUGAAAUGCGUAGAUAUCUGGAGGAACACCGGUGGCGAAGGCGGCGUCCUGGACCAAUACUGACACUGAGUGAGCGAAAGCCAGGGGAGCAAACGGG
rnacentral:rRNA from 1 species